rnacentral:rRNA from 1 species
UACGUAGGGCGCAAGCGUUAUCCGGAAUUAUUGGGCGUAAAGAGCUCGUAGGCGGUUUGUCGCGUCUGCCGUGAAAGUCCGGGGCUCAACUCCGGAUCUGCGGUGGGUACGGGCAGACUAGAGUGAUGUAGGGGGAGACUGGAAUUCCUGGUGUAGCGGUGAAAUGCGCAGAUAUCAGGAGGAACACCGAUGGCGAAGGCAGGUCUCUGGGCAUUAACUGACGCUGAGGAGCGAAAGCAUGGGGAGCGAACAGGG